AUGGCUCGAGAUAGGAUUUGGAUGGAUAUGAAUAGGGAUUCUGCGGAGUGGCAGAGUGGCAUUAAGGAAUUUUUAGAUUUGGCUUUUGACGGUAGUCCUGGAAGAUCAACCGCUUUAUGCCCAUGUAGAAGAUGUCUCAAUGCUAUUUACAAGGAAAGGGACGAAGUACACCUUGACCUGCUCAUGAAUGGGAUGGAUCCCAGUUAUACUUGCUGGAAAUACCAUGGAGAGGAUUCUGAUGACGAAAGUACGGCUGAAGGAUCUGAAGGUGAAGGGGUGAGAGGUGAUGACUUUGCAGUUCGUGAUUUGCUCAACACUCUCAUACGUAGCACCGAGCCAGAAAAUAGCAAAACCACAGGUGAAGGUACUAGUGAAGAGAUGUUGCAUGAUGAUGGUAAUAUCCCAGAAGGGUCUGCAGAAGGUAGAAGUAACGAAGAGGCAGGUGGAUGUGCCAAGGCUUUCUUUGCUUUGUUGAAGGAUGCUGAAAAGGAGUUGUACCCUGGUUGCAAGGAGCUCACAAAGCUUUCUUUCAUUGUGAGACUCUACCAGAUAAAGUGCUUGUUUGGGUUGAGCAACAGGGCAUGUGAGGCAGUACUUCAAUUGUUCACAGAAGCGUUUCCAAAAGGUCAUUGUAUUCCAAAUUCUCUCGAGAAAGUUCAGAAGAUAAUCCGGGAUCUUGGGCUUGACUACCAAAAGAUACAUGCUUGCAUUAAUGAUUGUGUGCUAUUCCGGAAAGAGUAUGCUGACAUGGAUUACUGUCCGACCUGUAAGGAAUGUAGAUGGAAAGCUGCUGCCGCUGAUGAAUUAGAUGUCGAGAGGACAAACCAUAAAGGGAAGAAGCAAGUGGCCCGUAAAGUUCUAAGAUAUUUCCCACUCACUCCACGGCUACAACGUCUAUUUAUGACCGAGGCUACAUCAUCAUAUAUGAGAUGGCAUAAGGACGACCGUGUGGAUGAUGGUAUAAUGCGGCACCCUGCAGAUUCUUUGGCAUGGAAGCAUUUUGAUAACAUUUAUUCUAAAGGAUUCUCUUCAGAUGCACGGAAUGUAAGGCUUGGGCUUGCAUCUGAUGGGUUCAACCCAUAUGGGAUAAUGAAUGUGUCAUACUCUUGUUGGCCAGUGAUUCUAAUUCCAUAUAACUUGCCUCCUUGGUUGUGUUUGAAACAACCAUAUUGGUUUAUGUCGAUGAUAAUUCCUGGAAAAAAGUCACCAGGAAAUAACAUCGAUGUAUAUCUACAGCCUUUGAUAGAUGAACUCAAAGAUCUAUGGUAUGUUGGUGCGGACACAUAUGAUGCCACAACGAAGAAGAACUUUCAGAUGCAUGCAGCCCUCAUGUGGACAAUUAAUGAUUUCCCAGCUUAUGCAAUGCUAUCUGGUUGGAGCACAAAAGGAAAACUAGCAUGCCCAUAUUGCCACAUGCACACAGACCAUUUAUGGUUGAAAUAUGGGCGCAAGUACUGUUACAUGGGUCAUCGCCGUUUUCUAAGUCGUGACCACAAGUGGCGUAGAAACAAGAGUUGCUUCAAUAACGAGACAGAAAAUAGAGAUGCUCCGGUGCCACUCUCGGGCAAUGACGUGGUACAACAACAUGCAAGUUUUGAGCAGGAAACCUUUGGGAAAACUAGAAAGAGGAAGCGUGAUGAUGAUAAUAAGUGGCAUAAUUGGAGGAAGAAGAGUAUAUUG
rnacentral:rRNA from 1 species